UGGGGAAUAUUGCACAAUGGGCGCAAGCCUGAUGCAGCCAUGCCGCGUGUGUGAAGAAGGCCUUCGGGUUGUAAAGCUCUUUCAGCGGGGAGGAAGGCGUUAAGGUUAAUAACCUUGGCGACUGACGUUACCCGCAUGAGAAGCACCGGCUAACUCCGUGCCAGCCGCCGCGGUAACACGGAGGGUGCAAGCGUUACUCGGAAUUAUUGGGCGUAAAGUGUACGCAGGCGGUCUGGCAAGUCUGAUGUGAAAUCCCCUGGCUCAACCUGGGAAGUGCAUUCGAAACUGCAAGGCUAGAGUCUUGUAGAGGCUGUUAGAAUUCCGGGUGUAGCGGUGAAAUGCGUAGAGAUCUGGAGGAAUACCGGUGGCGAAGGCGGCCCGCUGGACAGAGACUGACACUCAGGUGCGAAAGCGUGGGGAGCAAACAGG
rnacentral:rRNA from 1 species